rnacentral:rRNA from 1 species
UACGGGGGGUGCAAACGUUGCUCGGAAUUAUUGGGCGUAAAGCGCACGUAGGCGGUCUUGUAAGUCGGGUGUGAAAGCCCGGGGCUUAACCCCGGAAGUGCACUCGAAACUGUAAGGCUUGAGUAUGGAAGAGGGUCUCGGAAUUCCCGGUGUAGAGGUGAAAUUCGUAGAUAUCGGGAGGAACACCAGUGGCGAAGGCGGAGACCUGGGCCAAUACUGACGCUGAGGUGCGAAAGCGUGGGGAGCAAACAGG